UGGUGGAGUGAUUUGUCUGGUUAAUUCCGUUAACGAACGAGACCUCAGCCUACUAAAUAGGGUGCGUUAUCUACCGAUAGCGACACACUUCUUAGAGGGACAUUUCGGGUUUUACCGGAAGGAAGUUUGAGGCAAUAACA
rnacentral:rRNA from 1 species